ensembl:snRNA U6 U6 spliceosomal RNA
GUGCUCACUUUGGUAGGAAAUAUACUAGAAUUGGAACCAUACAGAGAAGAUUAGCAUGGCCCCUAUGCAAGGAUGACAUGCAAAUGUGAGAAGCAUUCCGUAUUUUU